rnacentral:rRNA from 1 species
UACGUAGGGUGCAAGCGUUAAUCGGAAUUACUGGGCGUAAAGCGUGCGCAGGCGGUUUUGUAAGUCUGUCGUGAAAGCCCCGGGCUCAACCUGGGAAUUGCGAUGGAGACUGCAAGGCUUGAAUCUGGCAGAGGGGGGUAGAAUUCCACGUGUAGCAGUGAAAUGCGUAGAGAUGUGGAGGGACACCGAUGGCGAAGGCAGCCCCCUGGGUCAAGAUUGACGCUCAUGCACGAAAGCGUGGGGAGCAAACAGG